GUCGAGCGAUUUACUUCGGUAAAGAGCGGCGGACGGGUGAGUAACGCGUGGGUAACCUGCCCUGUACACACGGAUAACAUACCGAAAGGUAUGCUAAUACGAGAUAAAAUACUUUUAUCGCAUGGUAGAAGUAUCAAAGCUUUUGCGGUACAGGAUGGACCCGCGUCUGAUUAGCUAGUUGGUAAGGUAACGGCUUACCAAGGCGACGAUCAGUAGCCGACCUGAGAGGGUGAUCGGCCACAUUGGAACUGAGACACGGUCCAAACUCCUACGGGAGGCAGCAGUGGGGAAUAUUGCACAAUGGGCGAAAGCCUGAUGCAGCAACGCCGCGUGAGCGAUGAAGGCCUUCGGGUCGUAAAGCUCUGUCCUCAAGGAAGAUAAUGACGGUACUUGAGGAGGAAGCCCCGGCUAACUACGUGCCAGCAGCCGCGGUAAUACGUAGGGGGCUAGCGUUAUCCGGAAUUACUGGGCGUAAAGGGUGCGUAGGUGGUUUCUUAAGUCAGAGGUGAAAGGCUACGGCUCAACCGUAGUAAGCCUUUGAAACUGGGGAACUUGAGUGCAGGAGAGGAGAGUGGAAUUCCUAGUGUAGCGGUGAAAUGCGUAGAUAUUAGGAGGAACACCAGUUGCGAAGGCGGCUCUCUGGACUGUAACUGACACUGAGGCACGAAAGCGUGGGGAGCAAACAGGAUUAGAUACCCUGGUAGUCCACGCCGUAAACGAUGAGUACUAGCUGUCGGAGGUUACCCCCUUCGGUGGCGCAGCUAACGCAUUAAGUACUCCGCCUGGGAAGUACGCUCGCA
rnacentral:rRNA from 1 species